AGAAACCACCCGUGUACAAACCUCCAAUUGAGAAGCCACCUGUUUACAAACCCCCAGUAGAGAAGCCACCUGUUUACAAACCGCCAGUAGAGAAGCCGCCUGUUUACAAGCCACCAAUAGAGAAACCACCUGUGUACAAACCCCCAGUUGAGAAACCCCCUAUUUAUAAGCCACCAGUAGAGAAACCCCCAGUUUAUAAGCCACCAGUUGAGAAGCCUCCCGUAUAUAAGCCACCAGUUGAGAAGCCUCCCGUAUAUAAGCCACCAGUAGAGAAACCGCCUGUGUAUAAGCCACCGGUAGAGAAGCCACCAGUUUACAAACCUCCAGUUGAGAAACCACCUGUGUACAAACCACCGGUAGAGAAGCCACCAGUUUACAAACCUCCAGUUGAGAAACCACCGAUUUACAAACCACCAGUAGAGAAGCCACCUGUAUACAAACCACCAAUUGAGAAACCCCCUGUCUACACACCACCUGUAGAGAAACCUCCGGUAUACAAGCCACCAAUUGAAGAGCCUCCAGUUUAUAAGCCCCCAGUUGAGAAACCACCGGUUUACGGGCCUCCAUAUGAGAAGCCACCUCACUACCCAGGGUAUCCUCCAUAUGAGAAGCCACCUCACCACCCAGGGUAUCCUCCUGCCGAUGAUGACAAUCGUUUCUAAAACUUGUUAUAUUAAGAAAAUGUGAAAAAUAAGAGGUAUAUAUAGUUUUCGAA
rnacentral:lncRNA from 1 species